rnacentral:rRNA from 1 species
UUAGGAAUCUUGGGCAAUGGCCGCAAGGCUGACCCAGCAACGCCGCGUGGGGGACGAAGGCCUUCGGGUUGUAAACCCCUUUUCCCGGGGACGAGGCUGACGGUACCCGGGGAAGAAGCCCCGGCUAACUACGUGCCAGCAGCCGCGGUAAGACGUAGGGGGCGAGCGCUGUCCGGAUUUACUGGGCGAAAAGGGCGCGUAGGCGGCGCGGCGCGUCGGUCGUGAAAGCGCCCCGCUCAACGGGGCGGG